rnacentral:rRNA from 1 species
AUACGGAGGAUCCGAGCGUUAUCCGGAUUUAUUGGGUUUAAAGGGUGCGCAGGCGGGAGAUUAAGUCGGCGGGGAAAUUUUGCAGCUCAACUGUAAAAGUGCCUUCGAAACUGGUUUCCUUGGGUGUAGAUGACGUAGGCGGCAUUUGUGGUGUAACGGUGAAAUGCAUAGAUAUCACGAGGAACUCCGAUUGCGCAGGCAGCUUACUAAACUACUACUGACGCUCAGGCACGAAGGCGUGGGGAUCAAACAGGAUUAGAUACCCUGGUAGUCCACGCAGUAAACGAUGAUUACUAGCUGUUUGCGAUACAAUGUAAGCGGCUGAGCGAAAGCGUUAAGUAAUCCACCUGGGGAGUGCGUUCGCAAGAAUGAAACUUAAAGGAAUUGACGGGG